CGGACGGGUGAGUAAUGUCUGGGAAACUGCCUGAUGGAGGGGGGUAACUACUGGAAACGGUAGCUAAUACCGCAUAACGUCGCAAGACCAAAGAGGGGGACCUUCGGGCCUCUUGCCAUCGGAUGUGCCCAGAUGGGAUUAGCUAGUAGGUGGGGUAACGGCUCACCUAGGCGACGAUCCCUAGCUGGUCUGAGAGGACGGCCAGCCACACUGGAACUGAGACACGGUCCAG
rnacentral:rRNA from 1 species